AGAAAAAAUGAAAAAAAAGUGAAGGGAAUGAAAAGUAAAAAAAGAAGAGGAAAAUCUCCAUUCAUUCACCAUUCGAACAUGUGGUGUAUCAACGGUGGUUGUUUCAGUUUAUUUCACGAAAAGGUAUCACUAGUGACAUCUUGGUUUCCUAAUUUGUAUCCCACCUACCUCGGAGUUUGCGUGAUAGUUGUGUUACAAAAUUGAAAAUCAAGAGACACUAAUAACUCCCAGGUAAGUGUGAUAAAAUUCGGAAAUUAAGAUGUCACUAGUACCUCCCAUCAAAAUAAAGGAGGCAAAAGGGAAAACAAAUCUUCAUCCAUUAUGUCGGUUUUGUGUGGUAUCUAUAUGAAAGGUGGUUGCAUAAUUGUCAGAGAAUAUUGAUGGACUAGGAUAGGUUGCCUGAUUGUCGUGUCACAAAUUUAGAGAGGGGGGAAUGCAGGAGCAAAUCUCAAGGUCUAGCUCCCCUUUGUGUUGGAUUGAUGAAGUGUGCACCCUACAGCAUAUUAUAUUGGAGUUGGAGUUGAUACAGAUCAAUCUCCUUGGAAGAUGAAGGUUAGCACAAGCUUUGUUUGGUUCAAGCAGUCUUCUGCCACUGAAACAACCACAUGAGAAAGUAGCGGUUUCAUUUGUUCCAAGCACUUCUGUGCUAAUGCAGAAUUAUUCUUGAACUGCAAGGUGCACACCAGUGAUUAUACUUGGAUAUUAGUUUAUUUUGCAAAUCCCUUGUAACAUUCUUAAUGACUUGAUUUAUAUUUUUCCUGUACUGCAGUGAAAGAAACCUACCUUAAGUCCUUAACCAGGAAUUGCUGUGGUGAAUAUGCAAUCAGGCCAAUCCCUUUCACACU